UAAGACGUAGGGGGCGAGCGUUGUCCGGAUUUAUUGGGCGUAAAGCGCGCGUAGGCGGCCUGUUAAGUCGGGUGUGAAAACCCGGGGCUCAACCCCGGGCCUGCAUUCGAUACUGGCAGGCUAGAGGCAGGCAGGGGAGAUCGGAAUUCCUGGUGUAGCGGUGAAAUGCGCAGAUAUCAGGAGGAACACCGGUGGCGAAGGCGGAUCUCUGGGCCUGUCCUGACGCUCAGGCGCGAAAGCUAGGGGAGCAAACAGGAUUAGAUACCCUGGUAGUCCUAGCCGUAAACGUUGGGUGCUAGGUGUGGGGCGGCGAUUGACCCGCUCCGUGCCGUAGCUAACGCAUUAAGCACCCCGCCUGGGGAGUACGGCCGCAAGGCUA
rnacentral:rRNA from 1 species